GACGAACGCUGGCGGCGUGCCUAAUACAUGCCAGUCGAGCGCUGAAGCUUGGUACUUGUACCAACUGGAUUAGCAGCGAACGGGUGAGUAACGCGUGGGGAAUCUGCCUUUGAGCGGGGGACAACAUCUGGAAACGAAUGCUAAUACCGCAUAAAAACUUUAAACACAAGUUUCAAGUUUGAAAGAUGCAAUUGCAUCACUCAAAGAUGAUCCCGCGUUGUAUUAGCUAGUUGGUGAGGUAAAGGCCCACCAAGGGGAGGAUACAUAGCCGACCUGAGAGGUGGUUCGGCACAUUGGGAAUGGGACACGGGCCAAGCUCCUAAGGGGAGGAGCAAGUGGGGAACUUCGGCAAUGGGCGGAAGGCUUGCCGAAGAACGACGGGGGGGUGGAGGAGGUUUUCGGGUCGGAAAACUCUGUUGGUAGGGAAAGACGUUGGGGAGAGUGAAAAGCUCAUCAAGUGACGGUACCUAACCAGAAAGCAACGGCUAACUACGUG
rnacentral:rRNA from 1 species